rnacentral:rRNA from 1 species
CCUACGGGGGGCUGCAGUGAGGAAUAUUGGUCAAUGGACGCAAGUCUGAACCAGUCAAGUAGCGUGCAGGAUGACGGCCCUCCGGGUUGUAAACUGCUUUUAGUUGGGAAUAAAAGGGGGCUCGUGAGCCCCGUAUUGUAUGUACCAUCAGAAAAAGGACCGGCUAAUUCCGUGCCAGCAGCCGCGGUAAUACGGAAGGUCCGGGCGUUAUCCGGAUUUAUUGGGUUUAAAGGGAGCGUAGGCCGGCUUUUAAGUCAGCUGUGAAAGUCCGCGGCUCAACCGUGGAAUUGCAGUUGAAACUGGAGGCCUUGAGUGCACACAGGGAUGCCGGAAUUCAUGGUGUAGCGGUGAAAUGCUUAGAUAUCAUGAAGAACUCCGAUCGCGAAGGCAGCCUGCCAAGCCAUGACUGACGCUGAUGCACGAAAGCGUGGGGAUCAAACAGGAUUAGAUACCCCUGUAGUC